GCCCUCGUAGCUCAGGGGAUAGAGCACUGGCCUCCGGAGCCGGGUGCGUAGGUUCGAAUCCUACCGAGGGCG
rnacentral:tRNA from 1 species